rnacentral:tRNA from 1 species
GCCGCUGUGGUGGAAUUGGCAGACACCCGGGACUUAAAAUCCCGUGAGAGCAAUCUCGUACCGGUUCAAGUCCGGUCAGCGGCACCA